rnacentral:rRNA from 1 species
GUGUAUGCUUUUCCUAAAGAUUAAGCCAUGCAUGCCUUCGAAUACGAGGAAGCAAUUCUCUCUGAAUCUGCGAACGGCUCCGCAAACCAGUUGUAAACUAUAGCAAGCAAGCUCGUGCCCCCUCGGGGGCGCGGGCGACAUGGAUAACCCUGGUAAUUCUGAGGCUUAUACAAGAACGUAACUCCCCGGCCGACUGGGCAACUGGAAGGUCGGGAGGUGUGUGAUUUGGCAUUGAGGAAUGCUGGGAAUUGGACACACGCCUGGACCGCGCCAAAGACAGAUGCGCCCCCCCCCUCGGGGGGGGCGUGCCUGAGCGGCUCUUGCUUUGUGCUUCUGACCUAUCAACUAGAUGGCAGCGUAACGGACAUGCUAUGGUUACAACGGGUACAGAGGAUAAGGGUUCGAUCCUGGAGAGUGGGCCUGAGAGAUUGCUCAUACUUCUAAGGAAGGCAGCAGGCGCGCAACGUUCCCCUUGUGCAAUGCAUGAGGGCGUUAGGGGACAUAUGAAUGCCUGCCCUUUGGGUGGGCAAUUCAAAUGGGUCUGUUGUAAACAGGCUCUCGAGUAACAAUUAGAGGACAAGUCUGGUGCCAGCACCCGCGGUAAUUCCAGCUCUAAUAGCAUACGUUAAAGUUGUUGCGGUUAAAACGCUCGUAGUCGGCUUCAGAUCAUCAGAUACCUGAUCUGCUAACCUGGGUCAGCUGCUCUUCGGGGCGCGCUGGGGGUGCGGUGAUGGAGGGCGGUGGUCAAGUGUGCCUUCGGCUGUCCUUCGGGUCACAGGGUUCAGUUUUCGGCUGGGCUCGGCUGGGGGUACCACUUACCAAUGAUUAAACUGGGUUGAUCAAGUAAGGUCAUUCGAUCUUGCACAGCACAGCAUGGGGAUAAAUCUAGCUCGUUUCGGUCCUUCCCUCGUGGGGGGCUUGGCGGGGCAGAAGCUGAUAGGGAUUGUUCGAGGGUUGACUGAAUUGCCCGGGGCGAGUGGGUGAAAUACCGUUGACCUCUUGGCAAGUUCGACCAAAGGCGAAAGGCAGUCAUCAAGGUCAUACCUCGGUUCGAUCAAGAAGCCGAAAGUUAAGGGUUCCGAAGAAACCGAAUCCGGAAUACCGUCGUAGUCUUAACUAUAAAUGAUACUGACCAGGGAUAGGACUCUGUCCAUCUCGACUCCUUCUGGACCUUGGAGAAAUUACAGUCUUUGAGUUCUGGGGGGAGUAUGGUCGCAAGGCUGAAACUUAAAGGAAUUGAC